rnacentral:rRNA from 1 species
CCCUUAGAUGUCCUGGGCCGCACGCGCGUUACACUGAUGCAUUCAACGAGCUUAUAACCUUGGCCGAGAGGCCUGGGCAAUCUUGUUAACGUGCAUCGUGAUAGGGAUAGAUUAUUGAAAUUAUUAAUCUUGAACGAGGAAUUCCUAGUAAACGCAGAUCAUCAAUCUGCAUUGAUUACGUCCCUGCCCUUUGCACACACCGCCCGUCGCACCUACCGAUUGGAUGGUCCGGUGAAGCCUCGGGAUUGUGGUUCUUGCCGCUUUAUUGUAGCGUGACCGCGAGAACUUGUCUAAACCUUAUCAUCUAGAGGAAGGUGAAGUCGUAACA